rnacentral:rRNA from 1 species
AUACGGAGGAUCCGAGCGUUAUCCGGAUUUAUUGGGUUUAAAGGGUGCGCAGGCGGCCAUUUAAGUCAGCGGUUAAAUCGUGGGGCUCAACCCCAUUCUGCCGUUGAUACUGGGUGGCUUGAUUGCGGUCGAGGUUGGCGGAAUUCGUUGUGUAGCGGUGAAAUGCAUAGAUAUGACGAAGAACACCGAUUGCGUAGGCAGCUGACCAGACCGCAAAUGACGCUCAUGCACGAAAGUGCGGGGAUCGAACAGUAUUAGAUACCCUGGUAGUCCGCACAGUAAACGAUGAAUACUUGUUUUCGGCGAUAUAAUGUCGGAGGCAAAGCGAAAGCGAUAAGUAUUCCACCUGGGGAGUACGCCGGCAACGGUGAAACUCAAAGGAAUUGGCGGGG